GACGAACGCUGGCGGCGUGCUUAACACAUGCAAGUCGAACGGGUCUGCCCUGUUUUUUGCGGGGUGGGUCAGUGGCGAACGGGUGAGUAACACGUGAGUAACCUGCCCCUCACUUCUGGAUAACCGCUUGAAAGGGUGGCUAAUACGGGGUGUUCUGGCUGUGCCGCAUGGUGUGGCUGGGAAAGAUUCACUUUUGUGGUGUUUUGGUGGGGGAUGGGCUCGCGGCCUAUCAGCUUGUUGGUGGGGUGAUGGCCUGCCAAGGCUUUGACGGGUAGCCGGCCUGAGAGGGUGAGCGGUCACAGUGGUACUGAGAUGCGGCCCAGACUCCUGCGGGAGGCAGCAGUGGGGGGUAUUGCACAAUGGGCGGAAGCCUGAUGCAGCGACGUCGCGUGAGGGAUGGAGGCCUUCGGGUUGUGAACCUCUUUCGCCGGUGAAGAAGGUCCUGCUCUUUGUGGUGGGGUUGACGGUAGCCGGGUUAUGAAGCGCCGGCUAACUACGUG
rnacentral:rRNA from 1 species